rnacentral:lncRNA from 7 species
CUGUAAGAACCCAACCGGGCCUGCAGGGAACCAAUGGACUGCAAGGAACCCAAAGGGCUGGCAGCGGGAACCAACGGGGUCUGUAGGGAACCAAUGGGGCCUGUAGGAACCCAAUGGGGCCUAUAGGAACCCAACAGGGCCUGCAGGGAUCCAACGGGGUCUGUAGGGAACCAAUAGGGCCUGUAAGAACACAACAGGGCCUGCAGGGAACCAACGGGCCUGCCAGGGAAAACGCGACGGUCUGUAGGGAACCAAUGGGGCCUGUAGGAACACAAUGGGGCCUGCAGAGAACCAACGGGGCCUGUAGGGAACCAAUGGGGCCUGUAGGAACCCAACAGGCUCUGCAGGGAACCAACGGGGUCUGUAGGGAACCAAUGGGGCCUGUAGGAACCCAAUGGGGCCUGUGGGAACCCAACAGGGCCUGCAGGGACCCAAUGGGGCCUGCGGGAACCAACAGGGUCUGUAGGGAACCAAUGGGGCCUGUGGGGAACCAAUGAGCGCUUGGUAGGAACACAGUGCGGGCCUUGUCGGGAACCCAACAGGGCCUGCAGGGAACCCAAGCGGGGGUCUGGUAGCGGAACCAACAGGGCCUGUAAGAACCCAACCGGGCCUGCAGGGAACCAAUGGGACCUGCAGGGAACCAACGGGGUCUGUAGGGAACCAAUGGGGCCUGUGGGGAACCAAUGGAGCCUGUAGGAACACAGUGGGGCCUGUGAGAACCCAACAGUGCCUGCAGGGAACCAAUGGGGCCUGUAGGAACCAACAAGGGCGCUGUAGGAACCCAACAGGCGGAUGCGCCAGGAACCCCAACAGUCGGCCUGCAAAAAUCCCAACAGGGCCUGCAGGGAACCAACGGGGUCUGUAGGGAACCAGUGGGGCCUGUAGGAACCCAAUGGGGCCUGCAGAGAACCAACAGGGCCUGUAGGGAACCAAUGGGGCCUGUAGGAACCCAACAGGGCCUGCAGGGAACCAACGGGGUCUGUAGGGAACCAAUGGGGCCUGUGAGAACCCAACAGUGCCUGCAGGGAACCAAUGGGGCCUGUAGGAACCCAACAGGGCCUGUAGGAACCAACAGGGCCUGCAGGGAACCAACGGGGCCUGCAGGGGCACCAACGGGUCUGCUAGGGAACCAAUGCGGCCUGUUAGGAAACCACAUGGGGGCCUGCGAGAGAACCACGGGGCCUGGUAGGAACCAAUGGGGCCUGAGGAAACCCCAACAGGGGCUCGCAGGAACAUACGGGGCCUGUAAGAACCCAACUGGGCCUGCAGGGAACCAUUGACGUCUGUAGGGAACCAAUGGGGCCUGUAGGAACCAAUGGGGCCUGUGGGGAACCAAUGGGGCCUGUAAGAACCCAACGGGGCCUGCAGGGAAACAACGGGGCCUAUAAGAACCCAAAAGGGCUGCACGGAACCAAUGGCGGCCUCGUCAGGGGUAGAACCAACGGGCCUGUGAAACGGCGAGGACACCAACGAGGGCCUGUAAGAACCCAACUGGACCUGCAGGGAACCAACAGGGUCUGUAGGGAACCAAUGGGGCCUGUGGGAACCCAACAGGGCCUGCAGGGAACCAACGGGGUCUGUAGGGAACCAGUGGGGCCUGUGCGGGACCAACGGGCCUUGUGGGGAACCAACGGGGCCGUGUAGAACCCAGCAGCGCUGCCUGGGACUAACGGGGGUCUUUUGUACGGGAACCAAUGGGGCCUGUAGGAACCCAAUGGGGACUGCAGAGAACCAAUGGGGUCUGUAGGGAACCAGCAAGGCCUACAGAAAAGAAACCCCAUUGGUUACAUGUAGGCUCUACAUAAACAAACCCCUUUGGUUACAUACGAACCCCAUUGUUCACGUGUAGGGCCUACAUAAAAAAUCCCCACUGAUUACAAACAAACCCCAUUGAUUACCUGUAGACCCUACGUAAACAAACCCCAUUGGUUACAUGUAGGUCCUACAUAAAGAAUCCCCAUUGAUUACAAACAAACCCCAUCGAUUACAUGUAAACCCUACAUAAACAAACCCCACUGUUCAUAUGCAGCUCCCACCCUCACGAAGACCCCCCCAGGCACCCCCAUUAACCCCCCACGCCCCCGGCCCGCCCACCAACUCCACCGCCCCCCAAUUCCUCCCCAUAGAAAACUGUACUGGCAGUUUUUCUCCACAUAAACACGUGCCUGCCAGCCCGAUGCGCCAAAUCCAACCCUCCCCCCCCCCCCACUUCAGCGCAUGCGCAAAGCCCCGCCGGCCGUCCCUUUCGCGCAUGCGUACUCCCUACGGACGCUCGGGCACAGGCGCAUGCGUGUUACAACCAACCCUCGUCUUCGCGCAUGCGCACAGCUCCCCCCCUACCCCUUCAAGCUCCAGUCCUCUGCCCGGUUCCCCGGCCGCCGUCGCCGCGUUACCGGAGGGCUCCCGACCGGUGAACGCUGGCAAAGGGGCCGGAGGAGGCGGGAGAGAAGAUCUGGGGACGGUCAGAGGACGGCGGAGAGGAGCGGAGGCGGCUGAGGGGAAGCGAUAGUGCGAAGUGCGCACGCGCGGCGCUCUCUGGUGAGUUCCGGCGCUGUGCGCAUGCGCGAAGUCGCAGCCGGUGGCAAUACGCAUGCGCGGAGCCUCAACUCGUGGCAAUACGCAUGCGCGAGGCGGGAAAGCGGUGAGGUGGUUUCCCGCGCGGCGCGGUGCAUGCUGGGAGUUGUAGUCCGCGCCUCAGGGAGGGGAUGGAUGGCGGCUAUAGGGGUUCCAUAGGGUCCUUCCGGGCCCAGACGCCCUGCGGACGGACCGUGGGGCGGACAGAAGCAGGUAAGCCCCCCAGGAGCUCCUAUGGGGUACAUAUAGGGACUCGCAGAGCCACACAACCCCUUCUGGGAGCUCUGUAGGAACCCUCAGGCCCUAUAGGGUGCAUAUGGGAACCCUCAGGCCUGAUAGAGUCCAUAUGGGGGCUCUAUAGGGUCAAUAUGGGGAUGCUCAGGCCCUAUAGGGUCCAUAUGGGGACCCUCAGGCCUGAUAGGGUCUGUAUGGGGGCCCUAUAGGAUCCAUAUGGGGACCCCCAAAGCCACAUUCUCCUUCCAUGAGCCCUACAGAGAACCCAAAUCCCUAUAGGAACUAUAGAGGAACCCCCCCUGAGUGCUACAGGAACCAUAUAGGACCCCCAGAGUCCCAUAGGAACCCUGUAGGGACCAUACAUGGAUCUCAGAGCCAUAUAUCCCCUUUCUCAGCCCCUAAAGGGUCCCUAUAGACACCUCCAGAGCCCUAUAGGAGCCGUAUAGAGACCCCCAGAGCCGUAUAGAGACCCCCAGAGCCAUAUAGGGACCCCCAGAGCCACAGUCUCCUUUCGUGAGUCCUACAGAGUCCGAAUAGAGACCCCCAGAACCCUAUAGGAACUCUAUAGGGACCCCCAGAGUCCCAUAGGAACCCUAUAGGGACCAUACGUGGGCCUCAAAGCCAUAUUCCCCCUACCUCAGCCCCUAUAGGGUACCUAUAGAGACCCCCAGAGCCAUACCCCCCCCCCCCUCCCCAUUUCCCAAGCCCUAUAGGGACCCCCCCCAGAGCCACAUCCGCAUUGGGCCCAAUAGGUUCUAUAGAGUCACACCGCAAACAACUAGUAAUAAUAGUAAUAAUAAUAAUAAUAAUAAUAAUAAUAAUAAUAAUAAUAAUAAUAAAGUCCAUUUAUUUAAUUCCCAAAUAUUUUGCGCUUCCCCUUGCACCCCCCCCCCCCAAAAAAAGGCUUUUCCCCUGCACUAUAGGGGAACCCUAAAGCAAAAAGGAGGGGGGGGGUCCCAUAGGGGGAAACUGAGGCACAGGCGGCUAUGGGGGAAGAGGGGAAGGGAGGACCCCCACCCCAAUAAUUUAAGCACUCCCCAAAGUUUUGGGGGGGUCUGGGGGGGGGAUCAGAAGGUGAAGCCCCCCCCCUUCCCACCCCGCAUUACCCCCUGGGGAUCUGGGGGUGUCUCUUUGUGGGGUUGGGGGGCGGUCAGGGGCCUUCCGGGUCUCUGAGGGGGGAAAUAGGGAGGGGUUAGGGGGGGAACCCAGUGCCCCCCAGUGCUCCCCAGUCUGUCCUGGUGCCCCCCCCUCAGGACUCCCAGUACCCCCCACUUCCUCUCCAGUGCUCCCCAGUAUCCCCCAGUAAUCCCCAGUUCAUCCCAGUGCCCCCAGCACCCCAUGUCCCCUCCCAGUACUCCCCAGUCCAUCCCAAUCCCCCCCAGCACCCCCCCAAUGGCCCCCAGCCCCUUUACUGCCCCCCAAUACCCCCAGUGCCCCCCAGUGCUCCCCAGUCUGUCCAGUGCCCCCCAGCACCCCCAUGUCCCCUCCCAGUACUCCCCAGUCCAUCCAAU